UUUUACGGCUGGGAAAGUUUAAAAAGUGAAAUAUCAAAUAACCAGAUAUCAAUUUGAUUUAAAAUUGCAAUAAAAUAGUGUUAACGAUAAAAUAACAGUAUGUGAAAGUUCAAACUGUUAAUUUUUAUCAAUUUUUUUUUUUUAAUUUUUAUAUUAAAACCUGCCUUCUUGUUUGUUAAGGCAUUUACUAGUUGGUUUCAUUAAUGGGUUAAACAGAUACCAUGCACGGAUUAAAAAAUGUUUAUUUUUACGGGGCGCAUCAUUUUAAUCUUGAAGACUGUAUUAAGUUAUAUGAAUUCAUUAUUUACGAAAUGUUUUGGUUUACCAUUAUGAAAUGUUCAUUCACAAAUAUUUAUAGACAUGCUCCUGUGGUCGUAUAUUUCCUCUGUUCAAGACAAGUCAUUGGUCAUAUAUGCACUGCAUUGUUUUUCUAUUUGCACAAAAUUUGCCAUAGAUUUGGAAACAACAAAACUCCUCCAUUGAUUAGGAAAUUACAAAACUUGCCAUAGAUUAGGUUGUUACAAAAUCUGCUAUAUACAUGUAUUUGGGACGGCAUGACGUCACAUUUGCCAUACAUUUGUAGAUGAAGAAUCUGCCAUAUAUUUAGAACAUACUAUAUAUUCGAGUCCUACAUAUAUUUAAGUUGUUUACAUACAAGUUUAUGUACUCGCUUACACCAAUUGUAACAUAUAGAC
rnacentral:lncRNA from 1 species